UACGUAGGUGACAAGCGUUGUCCGGAUUUACUGGGCGUAAAGAGCGCGCAGGCGGUCGAUCAAGUCGAGUGUGAAAGCCCCCGGCUCAACUGGGGAGGGUCAUUCGAUACUGAUCGACUCGAAGGCAGGAGAGGGUAGUGGAAUUCCUGGUGUAGCGGUGAAAUGCGCAGAUAUCAGGAGGAACACCGGUGGCGAAGGCGGGUCUCUGGGCCGAUACUGACGCUGAGGAGCGAAAGCGUGGGGAGCAAACAGG
rnacentral:rRNA from 1 species